GCUCCUAUGUGAGUAUGUGUUGGUUUCUGGGCGUCCCAGCACCGCUGUGUCCAUGUGUGUUGCACGGGGUUGGGUGCUGCUGAUGGUGCUAUUUUUGCAGCCGGGUGGGAGCUGUGAAAAAAUGGGAGUGACGCCUCCGCUGUUUGCGUCUCCUCCGGUUCUUAUCUCUAUUUCACAGUCAAGAUGUUUCAAAACCUUUAAAUAUGCCUCGAAACGCAGAGUGGGGACAAAUCCCCAGCUCUGUCAUCAUCCCCAUUACAGGGAGCAGCAUCCUGCCAUGCAACGUGCUCCCAAACCCAGCACAGGGGGGCUGAAAAUCCACCUGGAUUUGGGCACAGCCCUGAGAAGAGGAUGUGCACGUGGAUGCUCAGAGCGCAUUCCCACGUGGAGAAGCGGCGUCGGCCCUCACAGAGGCAUUCUCUGACUCAGCAGAAAUGGCUGGGAAGUGUUUGCUCGGGGAUGGGAGCUGCAGCGUGCAAAGGUACAGGGGUGAGAGCCAGGUGGGACACAGUGCUGCCUGGUGGCAUUGACACUGUGGGGCUGAGAGGCUGCUGGAUGCAACCCAACGGCCUGGCAAAGGGCUCAUGCAAAACGAAAAGCAAAGCAGAAUCCCCACCUCCACUGGUGCAAAGGUGGUGGUGAAGGGAUCUCACCCUGCUCUGAAGGUUGGGAAGGGCACUGAGUAUAAUUUGGGGUUGUUGUAGGAUGCUGCUUUGACAGCUCACUCCUAGGACCAUGCAAUACAUCCCCGAGGGACUCAGGAUACAGGAUGUUAUGCCAUAUUGGUAAGGUGCUCUGUAAGCAUCUUUUGGCUCUUUGUUAGGCCUAUCCUCCCUUUGAGCCCCUGCUGCAUGCUCUGGCAUGCCAUAAUGCAGCUGUGGCUGUGCAGAUGUGUCCUCAUCCCCAUCGUGCUCACGUUGGCCCUUCCCUGCAGCACACAUCUCCAAAGAAUGGAGAGCAAGCGAGGUGGGGAGGCAGCAGAGCUAAAAUGAUUAAUGGGACAGCAUGCUCAGAGCAGUUUGGUUUGUGAUAUUAAUAAUGAGGGAAUUCAGGAGGGAACAUACCCCGUGCCCAGCUGUGCAGCUGGCAGCAGCAGGAGCUGUGAAGAUCUAUUUGCAAUGCAGGAGUGAUUGAGUGGGCUCUGCAACAUGUGAUGUGCAUGGAGGGAGUGCUUGCACCUCGCAGGGCUCAUUCUGAACCUGUGUGAACUGCAAAAAAAAAAAAAGAACAAAAGUAUAGGGUCAUAAAUAUCCCAUAACAAUGUCACCAGAAAGCACAUCAAUAUCUGUCAGAUAUGGCUUCAGAUAUGGCUUAAGCUUGAAGAUUGUAAACUGGGCAGGGAAAGCGUGUUUAGCUUACAGGGGGGAGAAGGCAUGAAAAAGGAAAUAUUUAGUAGGAAUUAAUUUGCUCAUAGGGUAAAAAUCAUUAUCUGUGCUGUUUCAUGUAUUCUUCCUGAGCAUUCAGGUCUGGCAUGGCGAUAAGGACUGGGAUUCACCACUCACCAUCAGGUAGAAAGGGAGGGAUGAGUGGUGGAUGCAGAGCUUUCCAGCAUCAUCUGACUUCCUAUGGGCCAGCAGAGCAGUGACACACUUUGGAGAGGAAAGAUGAUGACAACUAUUACAAUCUGCAAGCCAAGAGGAGCAGACAGGCUUUACACCUCACUGGCUGGAGAAAAGCAGAUGAAGGGAGCAAAGCUUCCCAACAACGGGAGCAGGGCUUUGGCCAGAGGGACUUGGGGUGUCAGGAGCUGCUGCUGUGAAGUCCCUGCCAUGGGGCGAGCUGUGUCCCCACAGCUUUAUGGGAUGGCCGAGUCCCAUAGGGAGCCCCUGCCCUGCUGGGAGCGGUACGGUGCGAGCUGACCCGGCGCAGAAUGAGGCUUUCGAAGGGACUGAUGGAAAACUUCACUAAAUCUGGGUGAAAAAAGGCAAUAUCUCCAAAUAAGGUGCGGAUGGAUGCUGAGCGCUUUCGGAGCGCGUCGCCCUGAGCGGCUCUUCCGCGGGUGUGCGGGGACCUCUGGCGGCAGCGCCUGUCCCUGCCCGAGUCCCGUGCGGGGCAUGGAGGGGGAUUUGGGCUCCGGUCCGAUGUCAGGGGAUUGUUUGGAACCGGACUUGGGAACUUCUGUCACUCAAAGUAUCUCUGGUUAACGGCAUCGCUGCAGAAGGAGGGAGGAAAGCAUUAUCAAGGCUGAAAAUAGGGGUUUUGUAGGAAAUCCCAUGGCAAGUCUUUGGAAAAUCAAGGAAAAUCUAAAAAGCUAAAAGUAGCUGAAUGAUAGAAUGUAUGUGGCUGCUGGUGGUGCUCCAGCAGUGGGAUCAGAGCCCCGGAGCCAGAGGUGCCCUUAUCAGAGCUUAAAUUCCUCCUACGAGGAAGUGGCCGUGAGAGCCCUCCAGUGCCCGGAGACACGUUCACUAUUCCUGAACGGGGCCAAAGUGUUUCAUAACCCAGAGAACAAAGCAGCACGUGGGGCAGCGUCACAGCCAGGACAGACUGUGCCAAACCCACAGCAUUUCAGGGGCCGGGGCACUGCAGGGUCAGAGUCUCCCCAUGGAAAGGGACAGCAUUUCUGAGGCUAAAACACUGUCAGUAAAUGAUUUUCCUACUUGGUAUUUCAGGCAGCCCAGCAGGUGUGCAGCUCCAUCUGUGUGCAGGCAAUGCACCCAUCCCUCUGCAUCCCUUUAUGCUAAGCAGAAUGAGCUCUGUGCUUGGCUUUCCCACAGCUGAUUAGCCUGUGUGAUCCCUCUGGUCCUAAUGCACGAGGUUAUAUAUAACCUCCCCAGCACUGGGUCUGUGGAUUACUCCAAGCAGUGUCUCUCCCUCCAUUCAACUGUGAUAAAAUUCCUUUGUCUUUCUAGCUUUUAAGCAAAUUUCUGCAGCAUGGGAUGCUUUCCUAUCAGCAGGGACUGAGAAAGGUGAGACCCCUUUCUGUUGACACUGAUUUAUUCCCUCUGCAACAUCUCUUCCAUCAGCCCAUCAUUUGUUGCAGUUUCAGUGCCCAUUGCCCCAGACAGAGCAGUGACGGUGAGCUCAGACUCCAUGCUUUUGUACUUAAGCAAAGAGAACAGAAGAUCUCCUCCCAAAUUAAUACCUCAAAGGAGAGGCAGCCCCUGACAUCACUCGGUGUGUGUGCAGUGAUUCAUCUGAAUGAGGUCUGCGUGGCAUCCUUGCUCCAGGUGGAGACGUCAAAAAGCAACGAGAGAUCAUCAGACCAUGAGCAGCAGGAAAAGCAGUGCCUUGGUGGAUGGAGCUGAGGAAAGCGUGGAUAUAUGACCCUGAAUUUCUACACGGAGCAGGUCUGGGGUGUCUUGACUGCAGGGAGCUGCUCGUGGAUGGGAUGUAGGACAAAGAGAUGGAGGGCAGCAGUGCGGUGGGUGCAGCAUUUAUAUUUCUUUUUUUGGCAGAGGAACUGGAGCUUUUUGGUCAAUAAACCCACAG
ensembl:lncRNA